rnacentral:lncRNA from 9 species
GUCCCUGCUUUAGUGCAGAAAGUCCCGUGUCCCAGGAACCCUGGUCCCAGGCGAACGGGGCAGAUGGACGCCCUCUGCAAAGCCUCCCACGGUCUCCGGGCCUCCUGGGGACCCCCUGCCCGAGGUCGGCUCCUCCUGGGACCCCGCCCCCACCUCAUGGGACCUGCUUUCCCUCCUCCGCCUCCUCCCUCGGGAAGCCCACCGGGAUCCAGCCCCCAGUUCCAUGCAGGCCUUCCCCACAGAGCUCCAGGCCAAACAGUCAGGCUGCCUGGACAGCAUGUGGCCACAGAUACCCCCUCACCGUCUUGGCUGGGCCCCGGUCACUGAACUCUGUGACAGCCCCAGAAUCCACGCAGAUUGCCGGAGUCCGCGCUUUGCAGCCUGAUGCUCGGGGAAAUAAAGGCCACGUCCCGGAAGGACCCGGCCGGUCGGGCCCCAGCGGGACUGCAAGGCCACGCGCCCUCUGCCACCGGCCGCCCGCCUGCCCGUGGCCUCGUGGAGUUGUCCUGGAUCAGCGUUCUGGGCAAACUAAGAACCCAGCACGAUCCGGCAUUUAAGCUCUCAGCACCUCUCCCAACCGAGCUCAGGAAAGAGGAGGCCGGGCAGCCGGAGAGGAGGCUCAGACAACAGCCCGGCUUCUUCAUGGUCAGCAGCCCGACAAGUACAGAGCGGUCCGGGGACACAGCCCAGCCGAUGGUGACCUAGGGACCCCUGCCUCUGCCAGCUCCUGCCGUAAACAAGCAUCCCUUUCAUGGCCAGCUUAGUGCCAUGUUUUCUACCUUUUUGAGCUUUGGGUGGGUGAGUUGACCGUGGUGAGGGGCUGCCCAGUGUUCUGCGAGUGAGGGGC